GAUGAACGCUAGCGGCAGGCCUAAUACAUGCAAGUCGGACGGGAUUCAGGAGCUUGCUUCUGAUGAGAGUGGCGCACGGGUGCGUAACACGUAUGUAACCUACCUUUAUCAGGGGGAUAGCCUCUCGAAUGAGAGAUUAAGCCCGCAUAAAAUCACAGCACAGCAUUGUGUAAUGAUCAAAUAUUUAUAGGAUAAAGAUGGGCAUGCGGAACAUUAGCUAGAUGGCGGGGUAACGGCCCACCAUGGCGACGAUGUUUAGGGGAUCUGAGAGGAUGGCCCCCCACACGGGUACUGGGACACGGACCAGACUCCUACGGGAGGCAGCAGUAAGGAAUAUUGGUCAAUGGGCGGAAGCCUGAACCAGCCAUGCCGCGUGCAGGAAGACGGCCCUACGGAUUGUAAACUGCUUUUAUACGGGAAUAAACCCAGAUACGUGUAUCUGGCUGAAUGUACUGUAAGAAUAAGGAUCGGCUAACUCCGUG
rnacentral:rRNA from 1 species